rnacentral:rRNA from 1 species
UGGCGGACGGGUGAGUAACGCGUCGGGGAACCUGCCCUGUACAGGGGGAUAACACUUAGAAAUAGGUGCUAAUACCGCAUAAGCGCACAGUAUCGCAUGAUACAGUGUGAAAAACUCCGGUGGUACAGGAUGGACCCGCGUCUGAUUAGCUGGUUGGCGGGGUAACGGCCCACCAAGGCGACGAUCAGUAGCCGGCCUGAGAGGGUGAACGGCCACAUUGGGACUGAGACACGGCCCAAACUCCUACGGAAGGCAGCAG